rnacentral:snRNA from 1 species
CCUCAUCCAAUGCAGAUGGAUGACACCAUGAUCAUGAAGGUGGUUUUCCCAGGGUGCGGCUCACCCACUGCAUUCUGGUGUGCUGACCUCUGGAAUUGCCCCAAAUGCAGGAAACUCAACUGCAUAAAUUAGAC